rnacentral:rRNA from 1 species
CCUACGGGGGGCAGCAGUGGGGGAUAUUGCACAAUGGGGGGAACCCUGAUGCAGCGACGCCGCGUGGGCGAUGGAGUACUUCGGUAUGUAAAGCCCUAUCAGCAGGGAAGAAAAUGACGGUACCUGACUAAGAAGCCCCGGCUAAAUACGUGCCAGCAGCCGCGGUAAUACGUAUGGGGCAAGCGUUAUCCGGAUUUACUGGGUGUAAAGGGCGCGUAGGCGGGAUAGCAAGUCAGUCGUGAAAUGCCGAGGCUUAACCUCGGAGCUGCGAUUGAAACUGUUAUUCUUGAGUAUCGGAGAGGAAA